rnacentral:rRNA from 1 species
GUGAGGAAUAUUGGUCAAUGGCCGAGAGGCUGAACCAGCCAAGUCGCGUGAAGGAUGAAGGAUCUAUGGUUUGUAAACUUCUUUUAUACGGGAAUAAAGUGGGUCACGUGUGGCUUUUUGUAUGUACCGUAUGAAUAAGCAUCGGCUAACUCCGUGCCAGCAGCCGCGGUAAUACGGAGGAUGCGAGCGUUAUCCGGAUUUAUUGGGUUUAAAGGGUGCGUAGGUGGUCUUUUAAGUCAGCGGUGAAAGUUUGUGGCUCAACCAUAAAAUUGCCAUUGAAACUGGGAGACUUGAGUAUGUUUGAGGUAGGCGGAAUGCGUGGUGUAGCGGUGAAAUGCAUAGAUAUCACGCAGAACUCCGAUUGCGAAGGCAGCUUGCCAAGCCAUAACUGACACUGAAGCACGAAAGCGUGGGUAUCAAACAGGAUUAGAAACCCUAGUAGUCC